UCAGACAUGGUGUAGCGGUAACACAUCUCCUUUGAAUGCAUUGCAGUGAGUGGUGUCGGAGAGGUCCCGGGUUCGAUCCCCGGUGUCUGAA